rnacentral:rRNA from 1 species
GGGGAAUAUUGGACAAUGGGGGAAACCCUGAUCCAGCAAUGCCGCGUGAGUGGAGAAGGCCUUAGGGUUGUAAAGCUCUUUCGCCCGCGAAGAUAAUGACGGUAGCGGGAGAAGAAGCCCCGGCUAACUCCGUGCCAGCAGCCGCGGUAAUACGGAGGGGGCUAGCGUUGUCCGGAUUUACUGGGUGUAAAGGGCGCGCAGGCGGGAUAAAAAGUCAGUGGUGAAAUCCUACAGCUUAACUGUAGAACUGCCUUUGAUACUUUUAUUCUUGAGCUCGGGAGAGAGAGACGGAAUUCCAGGUGUAGUGGUGAAAUACGUAGAUAUCUGGAAGAACACCAGUUGCGAAGGCGGUCUCUUGGUCCGACACUGACGCUGAGGCGCGAAAGCGUGGGGAGCAAACA